UGAGGGACAUGACCUUCGGCGGGGGAUAGCCGGCCCAACGGCCGGGUAAUACCGCGUACGACCACAUGGGGACAUCCCUGAGUGGUGAAAGCAGCAAUGCGCCGAUGGAGUGCCUCGCGGCCUAUCAGCUAGUUGGUGAGGUAACGGCUCACCAAGGCGACGACGGGUAGCUGGU
rnacentral:rRNA from 1 species